rnacentral:lncRNA from 1 species
UUCAGGGGAAAAUUCCAUCCAGUGAAGGUCGAGGGGGGCAGCAUUCCAAGGUCAGGGUCAGUGAUUGGUCUCAGGGUCAAUGGUCAGUCACACCCCCACAUGGACAGGCUCUCCCACCUGGAGAGGAUGGGGAUAAGCUCUCAGUUUGGCCAGAACGCCUCACACCCAAUCAGGGAGGUGCCCAAUCACGUGCCAGAAUGGCUCCCCACAAUCACCAAAGAUUCAAAUGACUGUAGGGAUCAUCUAGGAAGUGUCCUGCACAGCUGUCUGGGUAUGAGCAGAUGGGAGUUCUCGGAGGACAAGGGCUGUCUUAGGAUUCUUCACUGUUCCACAUAAAACUCACUCAGUGAUUGCUUUCUGAGUGACUACAAAUGACUCUAUUUUUGAGACCAUGGAUCUUGUAAAAAGUUUGUGUGAGAUGUUAAAGGCAACACAGCUCCAGCAAGUCAAAAGUCCUCUGAACAGCCUGGCUUUAAUAUUAAUCCAUGAGUUUCUAGACUCUUCCAAAGUGAGGCUUUCUGGAAAGUUGUCAUUACUUAGGCUGCAGAAGCUAACAGAGAGAUCUUCAAGAGCCUUCCUCUCAGCUACCCU